GCCUGGGUAGCUCAGUGGUUGAGCAUCUACCUAUGAACCAGGAGGUCACGGUUUGAUUCCUGGUCAGGGCA
rnacentral:tRNA from 1 species